rnacentral:rRNA from 1 species
GACAGAGGGUGCAAACGUUGUUCGGAAUUACUGGGCGUAAAGCGAGUGUAGGCGGUUUCCUAAGUCAGGUGUGAAAGCCCCGGGCUCAACCCGGGAAGUGCACUUGAUACUGGGAGGCUAGAGUAUCGGAGAGGUUGGUGGAAUUCUCGGUGUAGAGGUGAAAUUCGUAGAUAUCGAGAGGAACACCGGUGGCGAAGGCGGCCAACUGGACGAAUACUGACGCUGAGACUCGAAAGCGUGGGGAGCAAACAGG